rnacentral:misc_RNA from 1 species
UUUAGUUAUUAAAAGAAACAGGAUAAGCUUUAAGGAAACUUUAUUAUAGUACUGUCAGAAAGCAUUCAGCUCCACAGGAAACAGUAGUAGUAAGCCUUAGCACACUGGCAGCUAUAGCCAACAAACGCAAAACUACUAUAUUAGGAAGAACAAUCAGCAGCACAUCAGCAGAAGAACAUCGAACUAGCAACAUUCUCGUGCAACCUAGGCAGCUCUGGAACUGGACCCUGUCCUGAAGAGAUUUCAGACAAAUUAUCCUCAAACUUCAUAAACUGCCCCAUCUGUCGUGCAGCAAGGUUAGCAUAACGCAAAGGAGCCACUGUUCUGAUAGCGGUAGUACUCCUUUGGUUCACAUAAGAAAGAGCAUGGAUAAGAUUUUGCAACUCAUCAGGAGAGAAUCCAAUCUCAUCAAGCAAGAUAUGAUAGUGUGCAGGCCUUGAAGUUCCAGUCAUGCUUGCAUGAGCGCACAAGUAAAAAUCAUAGUUUCUGGGAUGCACAAUCUCUGUAUCUACAACGGUCCCAGAAGGAACAUUUUCAGGGCUAAUAUCUUGAAAUAGCUUAGUGUGGCGAUCCUUCUGAGCAACAAUUACCGUGAACUUGGGAAUGUCUACCUCACUUUUAAAAUGAUCCUGAUAGGCCUGUACAACAAGAAAGAUCAUCAACUUGAAAAACAACAAUUGGAAAAUUCAUUUUAUAUCUCCCCUUAUCAGCAGGUCCUACAGCAGCCCACAAACUUUACAAUGGAGCAAAAAGAACAAGUACAGUAUUACAAUAGGCACAAAUCUGUAGCAGAACCUUUAGGAUCUGCUCCACUUCAACGUUCAAAACCUUACUGAACUGUGACUCAGCCACUCCAUUCCUGAAAACAAUAAUGUGCUUUGGUUUGUUUCCAUUGCUUGUGUGACAGAAGUCCUCUAGCAGCUUCCUCAUCAUACCAUCAUCCUUCCCAUUAGCUAAAGGGUUGUAUAGAGCAUCAAUCAUCUCCUCCUUAGGAGAUUGAGCUCUUACAGAAGCUCUAUACCUUGAAAUAUGUGGCCAAUAUAGAGAUCCGACAACCGCGGCUACUGAUGGUAUAUCUGAUCGGCCAGGAAAGCCAAGAGACACGCCCAUGCCCAAAAUCAUUGUAGGAGUAUCUUUUAUGAGGGGUAUUUGUAUGGAAUCCUCAAUUGCCAACAGAGAAUUAAUUCCUCCAAGCUUAGAAUUGAUCUUAAGAAGUACAUUGGUGAGAUAUUGGUCAUUAAUCUUAAAUGGAGAAAUGCACUGUGUAACGAUGCCAAAAUCACUUAGACAUUUCUUCUUCCAUGGUCCAUAAAUAUCAGAGUUUUUCCUCUCUGGCAAAACACACAAAAUAAAUUCAGGUUCACUUGGAAGCUUUGAUAUUAUCUGCUCAAACAUCUUUUCUACUCUAGCAAGUGGACUACCUCUUCUAGAUUGUGGAUCCUCCUCAAUUAAGGUAUAUGGGCGUCCAAUUUGAAUGCCCUUUCUUCUUCCACAGUUAAUAAGAUCACGGGAGAUCUGACUAGUAUCACAACGAGCAGAAAAGUUGACCACAGCCCAGCGCUCAAUGCUAGUGGAUUUCCAAAGUGUCUUGUUGUUGAAGUUCCAUCGCCCAUUACGUGGGAAACAGUCCUCGCUAUUUCCAACCUUCAACUUUGGAGUCUCAAGUAUGCGACCAUCAACCUGCAUCAAUUGUUUCUCUAUAGAAACACCACAUGCAGAAAGAACAGAAUCAUCAUCAUAAUGGUAAUUUAUCAAAGCAUCAGUCACAGUUCGCAUUCUAUCCAAAGGCUUUUGUCGAGAUUUUUCAACCAAUGAUGCUCUUUGCAUUGAAGAUAGAGCUUUUGUAUAACGUUGCAAAGAAACAAGUGAACAAAGCUCUAUUGGCAGAUAGUUUGGUCUUUUUGGUUUGCCAACAUCAAGGCAAGGCAGGUAUGCAGAGUAGGUGAGUUCUAUGCCACAGUGUCUAGUGAAAUACUCAUAAACAGUUAUCUCCACAGUUUGUGGCUCACCAUUUGCACUGUCACCAUUUUUCACUUUCAUUGGAAAAUAUUGCUGAUUGCAUGGCUUCUCACUUAGGCCAAUAAUUUUAAAUUCCAUUUUACGGAGCUCAUGCCUAACCCUCAAAUUUUUCAACAUCCUUUUAGCCUUUACCCAGUCAAUAUAGCGUGGUUCCUGUACAUUCUGAUUAGCUUUUAGAAAAUCAAUAACUGGUCCAGGGGUAAGGAUCAUUGUUGUAGACACAUCCAUAUUAAGAGACAAGCCACCCUGAGUGGUACGGAAGCUGGAAUGGAAUCCCCGAACUCCCGUUACACCCCCUCCAACAUCGGUGAAGUUCUUUGGAUCGUCAAGAAAGAAUGACUGUCUUACCAAAAGGCACCCCCUGUUAGCUGCUUGCUGCCUCAAGAUAAUAUCCAACACUCUUAAAGCAUCUUGAUUAUUAUGUUCUGACUCAACUCCUUUGAAAGCAAGAGCAAUGGACUUCAAAGGGAUUUUGGCAGCGUAGCUUAUUUCUACUUUAAAAGUUUUUGACUGAAAAGAACGCUUUGACCUCUUAGAAGAUGCAGCAGGGCUUCCACCAUUACCAGGGCUUCCGACUUCACAUUUUGCAAAUGAUCCCUCAAGGACCACAGUGAACUCCAACCUGUUCUGUAGCAGAGGACCCACCGUGUAGAGGCUUUUCUCACCAUCAUAAGCAAUCCUUUUACCGGCGAGUUCAGAUGAAUAUGUCUGGUAAAGCUUAUCGAUUAUCUUUCGGCCAAUUCCCUUCCCUUCAACAGCUCUAUUAUCUUCUGAAGUAAUGGAAACGCUAUACUGAUAAAACACAGCAUCUUUUGCAUUCACAGAAACUUUAAAGUGGUUGGCAAGCAAAGAUAUGGACCGCCCACUAGACCCAAAUCCACGCCUACUGAUGAUUGAAUGAUUGGGAACUGUCAGCUCUUGCUUCACAUUGAUUGGCAUAGAAAGUGGAGGGGAUCCACCAGCUUCUUUCUCCAUCUUUCAAUCAAACCAAGAACUUAAACGCCUUAUGACUUUAAGGAAACGGAAUAAAAUGAUCUCUUAAGUGAGAGGGUUAUCAGCUUCACAAAAUGUAUAAUGGGGCUUGAUGUAAAUAGUCCAUCACAAAAUCUUAAAAUUGUGAAAUGAUUAAAAUCCCAGGAAGUUUCACAGCAAAACAUCACUGUUAUUGCAGAAACAAAAUCAAGCAGGUGAUAGAAAAUUGUACUCUUUUUAGUUUACUAAUCAACAAGAAAGCUAUCAUCUAUGAAUAUAUGUAAGAAAGCAUGCCAGGUUCACGCUACAAUGGAAACGGUGUUUAAUAAGGUUAAUGAAUUUGUCAUUCUACAAAUGGCAGCAGAGUUGAUAGGCAUAACAAAUUUGGCGCUGAUCGAAACUGUUGUCAUCCUUCAAUUAAGAAGCAUACAGAUGCACAAGACAAUGAAGACACUACCAAUGUAGCAGUAGUAAAAAUAAAUAAAUUAGAAGAGCUGGAAAACCAAAUUUUCUAGCAAUUAAAAUAAUAUGAUUUUCAUUUGAAAAAAAAAACUAAGUCGACGCGAUUAGAAGCAUAUACAAUAUUUUACUUCUGUUCCAAAUUUU